UUGGACAGCCCUCUGCCUUCUGUUGGUGAAGCGCCGGGGCUGCUAAUGCUCCCUCCCCUCUUCCUCUUUGGCUCUCUCUCUCUCUUUUUCCAGACACCUUAAGGAAUUCAACAACCCCUCCCCUGCACACAGGCUUCUUCCAGGUGUGAAAUUCCAUGAAGGGCAGAGGGAAGGCAGGCAUGUGGGAGUUUUCUGUCCCUUGAGUAGGAGAAAGUUUCAGGAAGCCAGAUGCCAUGUUGCAAGAUUUCCUCUGGAGAGGGCCUCUUGGCAAGGAACUGAUGUCUCUGGCCAGCAGCCAGCGAGGACCUAAGAUCUGUCAACAGCCAUGCUUAUGGCUGGUCUAGCAGAGCCAGGUGCCAGGCCUGGCGGGAGCAUCCUUGUCUCUUAACUGACAGUGCCUCCACCUGGCCUUGCAGCUCCACUCGACAAAUACUAAAUAACAGGCUCUGGCAUCUCCUGAAGCUCUGCACUCAUUAACACACUGGGAGGUAAGUGCAGGCAACCAGGGAGAAUUUACUCUGCAGCAACAGGCUUCUCAUAUAGAAGCCAAACACACCCCAGCAGGUAUCAGGUAAUAGACCCACGCAGAGUGACUGGCCACUUGGAUGUCUGAGUUAAAAGGAAAUAGGUUGUCAGAGCUUGAAGGCAAAUUAUCGGUCUUCUUCCUCUUUAUUCCUCCAGCACCCAGCUGGGAGUAGGCAGAAGGGACAAUGAAUUGUGACUCGGAAAUUAAUCAGAUGAGACCUGAUGACUGAAGUACAUCACAGAGCUAGGAAGAGAGAUUACUAAGCAACACGGCCUUUUUUUCAGACAUCUCAGUUGACAACCUGAGCAAUAGCUCUGACCUGGAAGCAUCCAGCUUUGUAGCCAAAGAGAAAAAGCGCAGACCUUUGUCCCAGAAUUCUCAUCAAAAGUGUCUUUCAUCUCAUUGGCCCUGUGUGAGUCAUGUGCCCACCCCUAAACCAAUCACCAUGGCCUCAGGAAUGCAUUGUGUUGAGUAGUUUAGGCUG
rnacentral:lncRNA from 1 species